UGGGGUGUCGUCCAAUGGUAGGACUCUGGACUCUGGCUCCAGCUAUUGAGGUUCGAAUCCUUACACCCCAGCCA
rnacentral:tRNA from 1 species